rnacentral:sRNA from 1 species
CCUUAGCCCUGAUGGAAGCGGCAUCCUUUUUCUGACCGCCGCGGCGGAAGGGAAAAGAUACAGCGGACAGCAGGAAUAGCU